rnacentral:rRNA from 1 species
CCCUUAGAUGUUCUGGGCCGCACGCGUGCUACACUGAGUGGAUCAGCGGGUCAGGUUGCGCGAAAGUGUUUCCUAAUCUUUAAAUCCGCUCGUGAUGGGGAUUGACGGUUGCAAUUUUCCGUCAUGAACGAGGAAUACCUUGUAAGCGCGGGUCAUCAUCCCGCGCUGAAUACGUCCCUGCCCUUUGUACACACCGCCCGUCGCUCCUACCGAUUGAGUGGUCCGGUGAGGCUUUGGGAUCUGAGCGGAAAGAGCGUUUCGCUGUUUCUGCCCUGAAAACUCAGUCGAACCUUAUCAUUUAGAGGAAGGAGAAGUCGUAACA